GCCAGGUGUGGUGAUGCACACCUGUAGUCCCAGCUACUCGGGAGGCUGAGGCGGAAGACUCACUUGAACCCAGGAGGCGGAGGUUGUAGUGAGCCGAGAUCGCACCACUGCACUCCAGCCUGGGUGACAGAGUGAGACUCUGUCUUAA
rfam:Homo sapiens chromosome 5, GRCh38 reference primary assembly.